GAUGAACGCUGGCGGCGUGCCUAAUACAUGCAAGUCGAGCGAACAGACGAGGAGCUUGCUCCUUUGACGUUAGCGGCGGACGGGUGAGUAACACGUAGGUAACCUACCUAUAAGACUGGGAUAACUUCGGGAAACCGGAGCUAAUACCGGAUAAUAUUUCGAACCGCAUGGUUCGAUAGUGAAAGAUGGCUUUGCUAUCACUUAUAGAUGGACCUGCGCCGUAUUAGCUAGUUGGUAAGGUAACGGCAUACCAAGGCAACGAUACGUAGCCGACCUGAGAGGGUGAUCGGCCACACUGGAACUGAGACACGGUCCAGACUCCUACGGGAGGCAGCAGUAGGGAAUCUUCCGCAAUGGGCGAAAGCCUGACGGAGCAACGCCGCGUGAGUGAUGAAGGUCUUCGGAUCGUAAAACUCUGUUAUUAGGGAAGAACAAACGUGUAAGUAACUGUGCACGUCUUGACGGUACCUAAUCAGAAAGCCACGGCUAACUACGUG
rnacentral:rRNA from 1 species